CUUGACACUGAACAUUGAGCCUUGAUGUGUAGGAUAGGUGGGAGGCAUUGAAACGUGAACGCCAGUUUGCGUGGAGCCGACCUUGAAAUACCACCCUUUAAUGUUUGAUGUUCUAACGUUGUCCCGUGAUCCGGGAUACGGACAGUGUCUGGUGGGUAGUUUGACUGGGGCGGUCUCCUCCUAAAGAGUAACGGAGGAGCACGAAGGUUAGCUAAGCAUGGUCGGACAUCAUGCGGUUAGUGCAAAGGCAGAAGC
rnacentral:rRNA from 1 species